rnacentral:tRNA from 1 species
GGGGUUGUGGCUCAGCGGUAGAGUGCUUGCCUUGUAUGCAUGAGACUCUGGGUUAGAUCCUCAGCACCACA